rnacentral:rRNA from 1 species
AGUGAACGCUGGCGGUAGGCCUAAUACAUGCAAGUCGAACGGAAGCACAGUAAGAGCUCGCUCUUACGGGUGGCGAGUGGCGGACGGGUGAGGAAUACAUCGGCAUCUACUUUUUCGUGGGGGAUAACGGAGGACAACUUCUGCUACUACCGCAUACGACCUACGGGUGAAUUCAGGGGAUCUUCACGCCUUGCGCGAUUGUUUUAGACGGUGUCGGAUUAGCUAGUUGGCAGGGUAAGGGCACACCAAGGCAACGAUCCGUAGCUGGUCUGAGAGGAUGAUCAGCCACACUGGAACUGAGACACGGUCCAGACUCCUACGGGAGGCAGCAGUAGGGAAUAUUGGGCAAUGGGCGAAAGCCUGAUCCAGCCAUACCGCGUGAGUGAUGAAGGCCUUCGGGUUGUAAAGCCCUUUUAUUGGGAAAGAAAAGCAGCAUAUUAAUACCCCGCUAUUCUGACGGUACCCAAAGAGUAAGCACCGGCUAACUUCGUG